rnacentral:rRNA from 1 species
CCGCGUGAAUGAAGAAGGCUUUCGGGUUGUAAAGUUCUUUCGGUGGUGAGGAAGGUUGUGAUGUGAAUAGCAUCAUGAUUUGACGUUAGCCACAGAAGAAGCACCGGCUAACUCCGUGCCAGCAGCCGCGGUAAUACGGAGGGUGCGAGCGUUAAUCGGAAUAACUGGGCGUAAAGGGCACGCAGGCGGUAAAUUAAGUGAGAUGUGAAAUCCCCGAGCUUAACUUGGGAAUUGCAUUUCAGACUGGUUUACUAGAGUACUUUAGGGAGGGGUAGAAUUCCACGUGUAGCGGUGAAAUGCGUAGAGAUGUGGAGGAAUACCGAAGGCGAAGGCAGCCCCUUGGGAAGCUACUGACGCUCAUGUGCGAAAGCGUGGGGAGCAAACAGGAUUAGAUACCCUGGUAGUCCACGCUGUAAACGCUGUCGAUUUGGGGAUUGGGCUUUAAGCUUGGUGCCCGUAGCUAACGUGAUAAAUCGACCGCCUGGGGAGUACGGCCGCAAGGUUAAAACUCAAAUGAAUUGACGGGGGCCCGCACAAGCGGUGGAGCAUGUGGUUUAAUUCGAUGCAACGCGAAGAACCUUACCUACUCUUGACAUCCUAAGAAGAACUCAGAGAUGAGUUUGUGCCUUCGGGAGCUUAGAGACAGGUGCUGCAUGGCUGUCGUCAGCUCGUGUUGUGAAAUGUUGGGUUAAGUCCCGCAACGAGCGCAACCCUUAUCCUUUGUUGCCAGCACUUCGGGUGGGAACUCAAAGGAGACUGCCAGUGAUAAACUGGAGGAAG